rnacentral:sRNA from 1 species
GGUCUAUUGACAUUCAGGGAUGUGGCCAUAGAAUUCUCUCAGGAGGAGUGGAAAUGCCUGGACCCUGCUCAGAGGACUCUAUACAGGGACGUGAUGCUGGAGAAUUAUAGGAACCUGGUCUCCCUGGGUGAGGAUAACUUCCCUCCAGAAGUGGGGAUGUGCCCUUGUGUAUCUUUGUAUUUUCUCUUUUUUUAGAUACAGUGUCUUGCUCUUCCACCCAGGGUGGAGUGCAAUGGUGUGAUCAUGGCUCACUGCAAUCUUGAAUUCCUGGGUUCAAGUGAUUGUCCCACCUCAGCCUCCCCCGGUAGCUGGUACAGGUGCAUGCCACUAUGCCGGGCUACUUUCUUAGUUUUUUUUUUUUUUUUUUUGUAGUUGUUGUUUCUGUUUUUGUUUACAGACAAGGUCUUCCUGUGUUGUUGA